CCUACGGGAGGCAGCAGUGAGGAAUAUUGGACAAUGGUCGAGAGACUGAUCCAGCCAUGCCGCGUGCAGGAUGACGGCCUUAUGGGUUGUAAACUGCUUUUUUAGAGGAAGAAUAAUACCGAAUAUUCGGUAGAUGACGGUACUUUAAGAAUAAGCAUCGGCUAACUCCGUGCCAGCAGCCGCGGUAAUACGGAGGAUGCAAGCGUUAUCCGGAAUUAUUGGGUUUAAAGGGUCCGCAGGCUGUUUAUUAAGUCAGUGGUGAAAUGCUCCGGCUUAACCGGCAGAGUUGCCAUUGAUACUGAUAGGCUUGAAUUAACAAGCAGUAAUUAGAAUGUGUAGUGUAGCGGUGAAAUGCAUAGAUAUUACACAGAAUACCGAUUGCGAAGGCAGAUUACUAUUGUUUAAUUGACGCUGAUGGACGAAAGCGUGGGUAGCGAACAGGAUUAGAUACCCUGGUAGUCCACGCCGUAAACGAUGGAUACUAGCUGUUUAUUUCUAAAUUAAUUAGAGGUAUGUGGCCAAGCGAAAGUGAUAAGUAUCCCACCUGGGGAGUACGUUCGCAAGAAUGAAACUCAAAGGAAUUGACGG
rnacentral:rRNA from 1 species